UACGAAGGGUGCAACCGUUGCUCGGAAUUAUUGGGCGUAAAGCGCACGUAGGCGGCUUAGCAAGUCGGAAGUGAAAUCCCUCGGCUCAACCAAGGAAGUGCUUUCGAAACUGCUGAGCUUGAGUAGUUAAGAGGAUCGCGGAAUUCCCGGUGUAGAGGUGAAAUUCGUAGAUAUCGGGAGGAACACCAGUGGCGAAGGCGGCGAUCUGGGAACAUACUGACGCUGAGGUGCGAAAGCCAGGGGAGCAAACGGG
rnacentral:rRNA from 1 species